rnacentral:tRNA from 1 species
CAAGAAAUAGUUUAAGUAGAAUAUCAGUUUUGGGUACUGAUGGUGGGGCUUAAUGCUUCUUUCUUGA